rnacentral:rRNA from 1 species
AUUGAACGCUGGCGGCAUGCCUUACACAUGCAAGUCGAACGGCAGCACGGGUGCUUGCACCUGGUGGCGAGUGGCGAACGGGUGAGUAAUACAUCGGAACGUACCUUAUCGUGGGGGAUAACGCAGCGAAAGCUGUGCUAAUACCGCAUACGCCCUGAGGUGGAAAGCGGGGGAUCGCAAGACCUCGCGCGAUUAGAGCGGCCGAUGCCUGAUUAGCGUGUUGGUGGGGUAAAAGCCCACCAAGGCGACGAUCAGUAGCUGGUCUGAGUGGACGAUCAGCCACACUGGGACUGAGACACGGCCCAGACUCCUACGGGAGGCAGCAGUGGGGAAUUUUGGACAAUGGGGGCAACCCUGAUCCAGCAAUGCCGCGUGAGUGAAGAAGGCCUUCGGGUUGUAAAGCUCUUUUGUCAGGGAAGAAACACCGGCUCUAACACAGUCCGGGAAUGACGGUACCUGAAGAAUAAGCACCGGCUAACUACGUGCCAGCCGCCGCGGUAA